rnacentral:rRNA from 1 species
GACGAACGCUGGCGGCGUGCUUAACACAUGCAAGUCGAACGGAAAGGCCCUGCUUUUGUGGGGUGCUCGAGUGGCGAACGGGUGUGUAACACGCGAGUAACCUGCCCUUGACUUUGGGAUAACUUCAGGAAACUGGGGCUAAUACCGGAUAGGAGCUCCUGCUGCAUGGUGGGGGUUGGAAAGUUUCGGCGGUUGGGGAUAGACUCGCGGCUUAUCAGCUUGUUGGUGGGGUAGUGGCUUACCAAGGCUUUGACGGGUAGCCGGCCUGAGAGGGUGACCGGCGACAUGGGGACUGAGAUACGGCCCAGAAGCGUACGGGAGGCAGCAGGGGGGAAUAUUGCAGAAUGGGCGGACGCCUGAUGCAGCAACGCCGCGUGCGGGAUGACGGCUUUCGGGUUGUAAACCGCUUUCGCCUGUGACGAAGCGUGAGUGACGGUAAUGGGUAAAGAAGCACCGGCUAACUACGUG